GUGCUUGCUUCAGCAGCACAUAUAUGAAAAUUGGAACUAUAUAGAGAAGAUUAGCAUGACCCCUGUGCAAAGGAUCAUGUGCAAAUUUGUGAAACAUUCCAUGUUUUA